GGGGGGGCGGCGCAGCCUACCCCGCUGGCACCGCCUCCUCCGCCGCUCAUUGGCCGUCCGCGCGGCCCCGCCGCGCGCCAUUGGCCAGUUCGAACCAUCACGGCAGGGAGGCCCCGCCCCUCUCGUCGCCGCGGGGAGGGGGGCGAGGACGCCCCACACGCUCAAGCUGCUGUGAGCCGCGCGGCGGGGCCGCGGAGCUGCCGGCAGAUUCGACACCGGCUCCGCCGCUCCGCCUCCCCGCGUUUAUCCCCCUCCUCCUCCCCGCUGCCCCGUCUCUCCUCCACCGCAGCAACUGUGGAUUUCAUUAGCGGCGUUGAUUGCAUUAGCACCACCACGUUUGCCCGCAUCAGUCAGCAGAUCCCAAAAACACGCACAACUUCCGUAAAAUACAAGAAAGUCCAUGGAAGGUUUGGGUUUCAUUACACUUUUUAUCCCCUGAAAACCCAUAAUUACUCAUUAUGAUUAAUAAGAGCUGCUUUUUGCCACGGCAAAAUAAAACAUACUCCACUGCCCGCGAAAAUGGCAGCUUCAGGAACAGCAAGUUGCUUUUGCUUUACACUUCAGUGUUUACAGAGACUUAUUGCUCAGUUUCAUUACAAUUAGUACUUAAAAACAUUUUAUUAGAUCUGGGGUUAUCUGAGAAGACUGGUGUGACACUAGAAAUAUGGUCAGCUUUUACCUAAUCAUAGAAGUAAUUUGAGUUCAUUUAACGCCCUUCCCGAACUUAAUUUGCCCCCUUUGGAAUUACUGCCAUUUUUCUGAUCAAUUCAGAUGUGCCCUGUCCUUCGUGCAAGUCAAUACUCAUGAAAAUCAAGCUGAUCAGGAAAGAAAGAGAGGCAUUCAGAGCAACUGCCUGCCUGUGUAGCCAGCCUCAAAAUGCACUGUGUGAAUUAAUGAGCCAUAAGGAGGAAGGCGUAUUAACAGACAGCCACAUCAAGGAAUUCUUUUCUUUCUCCUCUUAGCUGGAUAUAUUGGAUUAAAAGCCACUAUGAUUGACUUGCAGAUGCAAAAGUUUUGCAUACUUAGGUUCCACUUGUAGGUCAGUAAGACUACAAUAAUCAGAACAGCAAGAUGUUUCAGUGAAAAGGAUCUAAUUUGUUUUGCUGGCAGCACAGAGCAGUUCACAUUGUAUGCUUUAUACAUCUCCAAUUAUUGACAGCAGUAUUGUUUUUGUGUUGGACUCCUGAACCCAUUUCUUAGGGCUACUGAGACAGGAAAACAACAACUACUACACAAGCAAUGUCAAACUUCUUUUAUUUCAAACUUCUGCAACAGUGCAUUAGUUACUGAUUGAUACGGAGAAAACCUCCCAGCAGUUUCUUCUCUUUAUAUAAACACGAUAAUACUGCAACUUUACAGUAAUCAGAGCCCUGUCUCUAAAAUACUUGUGCAUAACUGCAAACUGUUUUUAAAAAAAAGCUCAAUUCCGAUAUUGCUGACUUAUUUCUGAACUGUAGUCUCCCCUCAUGAUUUCAAAUUCUAUUACAGUAAAAAUUCCUGGCUCUGUGGACCCACAGAUUGCUGUCAUCAACAUAUUAAAUAUAAAGCUAAACUUGUCGUGUUUUUGUGUCCCAUGAUUGCAAAUUAGAGUUAUAGAAAUGAGAAACAACACGUGGAAGGGAAUGAAAUAGGUACAGUUGGUCCAGAGUCGCACAAAGAGUACAAAGUCAAAGAAGGCACUGCAGAAAGGAAAAGUCAAGCGUCAUUUUCAAAACAGGUUGUUCCUAACAGACUAUAAAGGCUAUGCUUUUCUGCAUCAUAUUGAAAGAUCAAGUUUUUAUCAGUCUGUAUGAACCAAACUUAACUUUGUUUAAAAUAUCCCUCAAAAAAUUAGCUUCUCUCAAGUUGACUUUUCCUUUUCGGUUGUUUUAAAAAUGUGUUAUUUCAACCAGCACAAGCUGGGCAGAAUCAAUUUCACGGGUAACCAUUCUUCACAAAUUAACGCAGCAAAAAAA